rnacentral:rRNA from 1 species
AUGCUGGGAUUAGUUGUAAACUUCCUUGCUGAACCCUACAGGGAGCAAUGCAUCCCCAGUUUGCUUCCAGAGAAGGAAGGGGAAGAGGGUUUUAUUGUUGCUGCUAUUCCUCAUGGAUAUUCAAGAGGCAACUUGGCACCUAAUGUCAGCAACGUGCUUAUCGGUGACGAGGGAAAUGAAAGAAGGCUGUAA